rnacentral:ncRNA from 1 species
UAGCCCUUGCCGCUGGAUGGUGCCGCGCGAAAGCGCGGGUAAAAGGGAAGCCGGGGCAGAUCCGGCGCUGUGCCCGCAACUGUAAGCGGCGAGCCCUUGCUCCACACGCCACUGGGCAACCGGGAAGGCGGAGCAAGGGCGUUCGAGCCGCGAGCCAGGAAACCUGCCAUCCGCGGUCGUCCCAU